AAAGUCGUAACAAGGUUUCCGUAGGUGAACCUGCGGAAGGAUCAUUAACACUAUACUGUAUACAAUUUACAUUGUAUAUAUGUAUUUACACCAAACCUGUGCUCCUUUUCUUUUUUUCCACACCUUUAAUGACCCAACUAACAUGACUCUAACCUUAAAUUCGCUGGCACUGGAAUAAACCCUGGUGUUGGUGUCCAACCGUUCUAACGAAUUGUUGUGUUCUAUUGUACAACUGUUAACAAUGGAUAUCUUGGCUCUC
rnacentral:misc_RNA from 1 species